rnacentral:rRNA from 1 species
UUGACGGUACCUGCAGAAGAAGCGCCGGCUAACUACGUGCCAGCAGCCGCGGUAAUACGUAGGGCGCGAGCGUUAUCCGGAAUUAUUGGGCGUAAAGAGCUCGUAGGCGGUUUGUCGCGUCUGCCGUGAAAGUCCGGGGCUUAACCCCGGAUCUGCGGUGGGUACGGGCAGACUAGAGUGCAGUAGGGGAGACUGGAAUUCCUGGUGUAGCGGUGAAAUGCGCAGAUAUCAGGAGGAACACCGAUGGCGAAGGCAGGUCUCUGGGCUGUAACUGACGCUGAGGAGCGAAAGCAUGGGGAGCGAACAGGAUUAGAUACCCUGGUAGUCCAUGCCGUAAACGUUGGGCACUAGGUGUGGGGGACAUUGACGUUUUCCGCGCCGUAGCUAACGCAUUAAGUGCCCCGCCUGGGGAGUACGGCCGCAAGGCUAAAACUCAAAGGAAUUGACGGGGGCCCGCACAAGCGGCGGAGCAUGCGGAUUAAUUCGAUGCAACGCGAAGAACCUUACCAAGGCUUGACAUGUUCUGACCGCCGUAGAGAUACGGUUUCCCCUUUGGGGCAGGUUACACAGGUGGUGCAUGGUUGUCGUCAGCUCGUGUCGUGAGAUGUUGGGUUAAGUCCCGCAACGAGCGCAACCCUCGUUCCAUGUUGCCAGCACGUAGUGGUGGGGACUCAUGGGAGACUGCCGGGGUCAACUCGGAGGAAGGUGGGGACGACGUCAAAUCAUCAUGCCCCUUAUGUCUUGGGCUUCACGCAUGCUACAAUGGCCGGUACAAUGGGUUGCGAUACUGUGAGGUGGAGCUAAUCCCAAAAAGCCGGUCUCAGUUCGGAUUGGGGUCUGCAACUCGACCCCAUGAAGUCGGAGUCGCUAGUAAUCGCAGAUCAGCAACGCUGCGGUGAAUACGUUCCCGGGCCUUGUACACACCGCCCGUCAAGUCA